CCUACGGGGCGCAGCAGUAGGGAAUCUUCCACAAUGGACGAAAGUCUGAUGGAGCAACGCCGCGUGAGUGAAGAAGGGUUUCGGCUCGUAAAGCUAUGUUGGGAGUGAAGAAAGAUAGAAGUAGUAAAUGGCCUUUAUUUGACGGUAAUUACUUAGAAAGUCACGGCUAACUACGUGCCAGCAGCCGCGGUAAUACGAAGGUGGCGAGCGUUGUCCGGAUUUAUUGGGCGUAAAGCGAGUGCAGGCGGUGCACUAAGGUUGAU
rnacentral:rRNA from 1 species